rnacentral:lncRNA from 1 species
AUUCCAUGCGCCUAACUCCUCAAACCCUAGCCUCCCUCUCUAUAAGAACCCUUAGCUGGCCCUCCCUCAAAGACAUCUCUCAGCUUCUCCAUGCCACAUAGCUCCUCUCCAUACCAAAAGUCUCCAAGCCUUCCCCACGACAAAAUCUCCAUAGCCUUAGGCUCCAUGCCACAGCCUUUUUCACGCCAACCCUGUCUUCCUAGAUUUUUAGCUGGCCAU